rnacentral:rRNA from 1 species
UGGUGGAGUGAUUUGUCUGGUUAAUUCCGUUAACGAACGAGACCCCUGCCUGCUAAAUAGUCCUUUGAGUGAUUUUCACUGAUUUGGGCUUCUUAGAGGGACGUGCAUUUUUAUUAGAUGCAGGAAGAUAGGGGCAAUAACA